rnacentral:sRNA from 1 species
CAGAAUAGGUACCGCCUGGGCAUCAGAAAUGCAAGCUUCUUCCACAUCCUCCAUCAAUGUGCCUCACACCUG